AUUGAACGCUGGCGGCAGGCUUAACACAUGCAAGUCGAGCGGGCGAGGUUGCUUCGGUAACUGAGCUAGCGGCGGACGGGUGAGUAAAGCUUAGGAAUCUGCCUAUUAGUGGGGGACAACAUUCCGAAAGGGAUGCUAAUACCGCAUACGUCCUACGGGAGAAAGCAGGGGAUCACUUGUGACCUUGCGCUAAUAGAUGAGCCUAAGUCGGAUUAGCUAGUUGGUGGGGUAAAGGCCUACCAAGGCGACGAUCUGUAGCGGGUCUGAGAGGAUGAUCCGCCACACUGGGACUGAGACACGGCCCAGACUCCUACGGGAGGCAGCAGUGGGGAAUAUUGGACAAUGGGGGGAACCCUGAUCCAGCCAUGCCGCGUGUGUGAAGAAGGCCUUUUGGUUGUAAAGCACUUUAAGCGAGGAGGAGGCUUACCUGGUUAAUACCUGGGCUAAGUGGACGUUACUCGCAGAAUAAGCACCGGCUAACUCUGUGCCAGCCGCCGCUGUAACAC
rnacentral:rRNA from 1 species